rnacentral:lncRNA from 1 species
CAAAGAAAUGAAAAGGUUGGGUGUGGCGAAAUAGUAGAAGGUAAUAAUGACUAAAAUUUGGGCAGCAAACAAAAACUAAAUUUCAAAACUAGCUCUCUUUUUUUUUCACAAUUUUUUUUUCAAAUUUUUUUUUCAAAUUUUUUUUCGAUUUUUUUGAAUUUUUUUCGAGAAACUACUAUACCGUAAUACCGACAACGUCGAUUCUUACUCCAAAUUCACUAGCUCUAAUACCAAUUUGAUACGAACUCGUCUCGUGAUGUUUUGAGUCGUAUGUGUUGCCCAAUCGUGAAUUGAGUAAGGAUAGAUUCGUUUCGAUUUUAAAAUGAAACAAAAUAGAGAUAAUGGUUUC